AAUAGAUACCCCGGUAGUCCACGCCGUAAACGAUGAGUGCUAGGUGUUGGGGGGACCCCCCUCAGUGCCGCAGGUAACCCAAUAAGCACUCCGCCUGGGGAGUACGGUCGCAAGACUGAAACUCAAAGGAAUUGACGGGGGCCCGCACAAGCGGUGGAGCAUGUGGUUUAAUUCGAAGCAACGCGAAGAACCUUACCAGGGCUUGACAUCCCGCUGAUCGGUGUAGAGAUAUGCCUUUCCCCUUCGGGGGACAGCGGUGACAGGUGGUGCAUGGUUGUCGUCAGCUCGUGUCGUGAGAUGUUGGGUUCAGUCCCGCAACGAGCGCAACCCUUGUUUCUAGUUGCCAGCACUUCGGGUGGGCACUCUAGAGAGACAGCUGGUGAAAGCCGGAGGAAGGUGGGGAUGACGUCAAAUCAUCAUGCCCCUUAUGUCCUGGGCUACACACGUGCUACAAUGGCUGGUACAAAGGGCAGCGAACCCGCGAGGGGGAGCCAAUCCCAAAAAACCAGUCUCAGUUCGGAUUGCAGGCUGCGACUCCG
rnacentral:rRNA from 1 species